rfam:Triticum aestivum genome assembly, contig: Triticum_aestivum_CS42_TGACv1_scaffold_131480_2BL
UUGAUACUCCCUCCGUCCGGAAAUACUUGUCGAAGAAAUGCAUAAAAAUGAAUGUUCUAGAACUAAAAUACAUCUAGAUACAUCCAUUCCUCCGACGAGUAUUUUCGGACGUAGGGAGUAUCUU